rnacentral:rRNA from 1 species
AGGGUUUGAUCAUGGCUCAGAACGUACGCUGGCGGCACGCCUAACACAUGCAAGUCGAACGAAGUAGCAAUACUUAGUGGCAGACGGGUGAGUAACAUGUAGGUAUCUGCCCUUUGGCCUGGAAUAACACGAGGAAACUUGUGCUAAUACCGGAUAAGUCUUUACGGAGAAAGCUUUAUGCACCAUUGGAUGAGCCUGCACUUGAUUAGUUUGUUGGUGGGGUAAUGGCCUACCAAGACUGUGAUCAAUAGCUGAUUUGAGAGGAUGAUCAGCCACAUUGGGACUGAGACACGGCCCAAACUCCUACGGGAGGCAGCAGUGGGGAAUCUUGCACAAUGGAGGAAACUCUGAUGCAGCGAUGCCGCGUGAGUGAAGAAGGCCCUUGGGUUGUAAAGCUCUUUCGUCGGGGAAGAAAAUGACUGUACCCGAAUAAGAAGGUCCGGCUAACUUCGUGCCAGCAGCCGCGGUAAUACGAAGGGACCUAGCGUAGUUCGGAAUUACUGGGCUUAAAGAGUUCGUAGGUGGUUGAAAAAGUUAGUGGUGAAAUCCCAGAGCUUAACUCUGGAACUGCCAUUAAAACUUUUCAGCUAGAGUAUGAUAGAGGAAAGCAGAAUUUCUAGUGUAGAGGUGAAAUUCGUAGAUAUUAGAAAGAAUACCAAUUGCGAAGGCAGCUUUCUGGAUCAUUACUGACACUGAGGAACGAAAGCAUGGGUAGCGAAGAGGAUUAGAUACCCUCGUAGUCCAUGCCGUAAACGAUGUGUGUUAGACGUUGGAAAUUUAUUUUCAGUGUCGCAGCGAAAGCGAUAAACACACCGCCUGGGGAGUACGACCGCAAGGUUAAAACUCAAAUGAAUUGACGGGGACCCGCACAAGUAGUGGAGCAUGUGGUUUAAUUCGAAGAUACGCGCAGAACCUUACCAACACUUGACAUGUUCGUCGCGACUCUAAGAGAUUAGAGUUUUCGGUUCGGCCGGACGAAACACAGGUGCUGCAUGGCUGUCGUCAGCUCGUGUCGUGAGAUGUUGGGUUAAGUCCCGCAACGAGCGCAACCCUCACUUUUAGUUGCCAUCAUUAAGUUGGGCACUCUGAAAGAACUGCCAGUGAUAAGCUGGAGGAAGGUGGGGAUGACGUCAAGUCCUCAUGGCCCUUACGUGUUGGGCUACACACGUGCUACAAUGGUAUCUACAACAGGAAGCAAGACUGCGAAGUUAAGCAAAUCCCUAAAAGAUACCUCAGUUCGGAUUGCACUCUGCAACUCGAGUGCAUGAAGCUGGAAUUACUAGUAAUCGUGGAUCAGCGUGCCACGGUGAAUGCGUUCCCGGGUCUUGUACACACCGCCCGUCACACCAUGGGAGUUGGUUCUACCUUAAGGCAAGGUUUUAAACCCUUGACCACGGUAUAGUCAGCGACUGGGGUGAAGUCGUAACAAGGUAGCCGUA